CCUACGGGCUGCACCAGUGGGCAAUAUUGCACAAUGGGCGCAAGCCUGAUGCAGCCAUGCCGCGUGUAUGAAGAAGGCCUUCGGGUUGUAAGUACUUUCAGCGGGGAGGAAGGUGUUGUGGUUAAUAACCGCAGCAAUUGACGUUACCCGCAAAAGAAGCACCGGCUAACUCCGUGCCAGCAGCCGCGGUAAUACGGAGGGUGCAAGCGCUAAUCGGAACUACUGGGCGUAAAGCGCACGCAGGCGGUCUGUCAAGUCGGAUGUGAAAUCCCCGGGCUCAACCUGGGAACUGCAUUCGAAACUGGCAGGCUAGAGUCUCGUAGAGGGGGGUAGAAUUCCAGGUGUAGCGGUGAAAUGCGUAGAGAUCUGGAGGAAUACCGGUGGCGAAGGCGGCCCCCUGGACAAAGACUGACGCUCAGGUGCGAAAGCGUGGGGAGCAAACAGGAUUAGAUACCCCUGUAGUC
rnacentral:rRNA from 1 species